UAAGGAAUAUUGGUCAAUGGACGCAAGUCUGAACCAGCCAUGCCGCGUGAAGGAUUAAGGUCCUCUGGAUUGUAAACUUCUUUUAUCUGGGACGAAAAAAGGCUAUUCUUAGUCACUUGACGGUACCAGAUGAAUAAGCACCGGCUAACUCCGUGCCAGCAGCCGCGGUAAUACGGAGGGUGCAAGCGUUAUCCGGAUUCACUGGGUUUAAAGGGUGCGUAGGCGGGCAGGUAAGUCAGUGGUGAAAUCCUGGAGCUUAACUCCAGAACUGCCAUUGAUACUAUCUGUCUUGAAUAUUGUGGAGGUAAGCGGAAUAUGUCAUGUAGCGGUGAAAUGCUUAGAUAUGACAUAGAACACCUAUUGCGAAGGCAGCUUACUACGCAUAUAUUGACGCUGAGGCACGAAAGCGUGGGGAUCAAACA
rnacentral:rRNA from 1 species